CCUACGGGUGGCAGCAGUCGAGAAUCAUUCACAAUGGGGGAAACCCUGAUGGUGCGACGCCGCGUGGGGGAAUGAAGGUCUUCGGAUUGUAAACCCCUGUCAUGUGGGAGCAAAUUAAAAAGAUAGUACCACAAGAGGAAGAGACGGCUAACUCUUUGCCAGCAGCCGCGGGAAUACAGAGGUCUCAAGCGUUGUUCGGAAUCACUGGGCGUAAAGCGUGCGGAGGCUGUUUCGUAAGUCGUGUUUGAAAGGCGCGGGCUCAACCCGCGGACGGCACAUGAUACUGCGAGACUAGAGUAAUGGAGGGGGAACCGGAAUUCUCGGUGUAGCAGUGAAAUGCGUAGAUAUCGAGAGGAACACUCGUGGCGAAGGCGGGUUCCUGGACAUUAACUGACGCUGAGGCACGAAGGCCAGGGGAGCGAAAGGGAUUAGAUACCCCUGUAGUC
rnacentral:rRNA from 1 species